AGGACGAACGCUGGCGGCGUGCUUAACACAUGCAAGUCGAGCGGAAAGGCCCUUCGGGGUACUCGAGCGGCGAACGGGUGAGUAACACGUGAGCAACCUGCCCCUGGCUCUGGGAUAGCCUCCGGAAACGGGGAUUAAUACCGGACAUUCACUUCCUUCCGCAUGGUUGGUGGUGGAAAGUUUUUCGGCCGGGGAGGGGCUCGCGGUCUAUCAGCUUGUUGGCGGGGUAACGGCCCACCAAGGCGACGACGGAUAGCCGGCCUGAGAGGGCGAUCGGCCACACUGGGACUGAGACACGGCCCAGACUCCUACGGGAGGCAGCAGUGGGGAAUAUUGCACAAUGGGCGCAAGCCUGAUGCAGCGACGCCGCGUGGGGGAUGAAGGCCUUCGGGUUGUAACCCCUUUCACCAGGAGCGAAUUCAGACGGUACCUGGGGAAGAAGCGCCGGCUACUACGCGCCAGCAGCCGC
rnacentral:rRNA from 1 species